ACAAGCAACUCUCAAAUAUUACAAUAACAUUAAUUUGUUCACUCUUAUUUUCGAGAGUAAAACGAUUACCUGCUUUUCAAAUGACAACCUAUAUUUAAAGUCCCAUAAAUAUUUACCGUACUGGUUUGAAUACAUUUUUAUGUUGAAAUUUUUGAUUUUUAUUAAUCUGUUGACGUGAUAUUUCACUUUUGAGUUUAGGUAAGUGAGAGCAUUGGAGCAUUAUUAAAACGCCUCGCGCUGGGCUGCCAC